GCUGGGUGUGGUGGUGCACACCUGUGGUCCUAGCUCCUCGGGAGGCUGUGGUGGGAGGAUUGCUUGAGUCCAGGAAGUUGAGGCUGCAGUGAGCUCAGAUUGCACCACUGCACUCCAGCCUGGGCAACAGAGCGAGACCCUGUCUCCA
ensembl:misc_RNA Metazoa_SRP Metazoan signal recognition particle RNA